AUACUUACCUGGCAGGUGUUGUGAUCAAGAAGGCCCAUCGUCUAGGCGUGUGACCUCCAUUGCACCUUGGAGGGGUGCUAGCUUAAGGUCUGCCCAAGUGGUGGAGUUUACAUCGUAAUUUGUUGCAGUAGGGGCAUGCUAAUAUAUUGUGCUCAUCUUCUCCUUU
rnacentral:snRNA from 1 species